GUAGCAAUACUUCGCCGGCGACCGGCGCACGGGUGAGUAACACGUGUGCAACCAACCCCGUACCGGGAGAUAACCCGCGGAAACGUGGACUAACAUCCCAUAACACUGUAUCAUCGCAUGGUGAUGCAUUUAAAAUUCCGGUGGUACGGGACGGGCACGCGCGACAUUAGGUAGUUGGCGGGGUAACGGCCCACCAAGCCGACGAUGUCUAGGGGUUCUGAGAGGAAGGUCCCCCACACUGGAACUGAGACACGGUCCAGACUCCUACGGGAGGCAGCAGUGAGGAAUAUUGGUCAAUGGGCGAGAGCCUGAACCAGCCAAGUCGCGUGAGGGAAGAAUGGUCUAUGGCCUGUAAACCUCUUUUGCCAGGGAAGAAUAAAUUGCACGCGUGCGAUCUUGCCAGUACCUGACGAAUAAGCAUCGGCUAACUCCGUGCCAGCAGCUGCGGUAAUACGGGGGAUGCGAGCGUUAUCCGGAUUUAUUGGGUUUAAAGGGCGCGUAGGCGGGACGCCAAGUCAGCGGUAAAAGACUGCAGCUAAACUGUAGCACGCCGUUGAAACUGGCGACCUCGAGACGAGACGAGGGAGGCGGAACAAGUGAAGUAGCGGUGAAAUGCUUAGAUAUCACUUGGAACCCCGAUAGCGAAGGCAGCUUCCAGGCUCGAUCUGACGC
rnacentral:rRNA from 1 species